UUAAACAAUAACCAGGUCUAUUUGCCAUUCCCCACAGACAAACACACUACGGACUUGCUACUGUAAACACGGAUGGAAGGGCAGGAGUACAACCUCCUAGUAGAAACCCACUUCGAGGCUCGUUAGAAACUAGAAAAAACAAGACUCCUCCAGCGACUAUCUUGUUAGAGGGGUGCCUGCACCUGUGAACCUUAAAUUAGCAACUUUCAAGCACUCGGCAGCUGUUGAAACUCUCUUUGGUGGACACAUUUUGCUUGAGAUCUUUAGUGAAGUGAAGUAAAACUGGAAAUUCAUUCCUACUGACAAUGGCAAUGAAGUGCUCCCACCCAGAACAACAUUAAGAGAAGUUCUUGCAUCAUCCUUCAGUUGGCACCAGCUUCAGAAAUCCAGACUAUUGCAGAUCUCCUCCUCAAGGGCAUUGUGGGUCUACCUGCAGCACAGAGACAGCAGUGAUUCAAGAAGGCACCUCACCACCACCUUCCCAAAGCCAAUUAGAGAUGGGCAAUUAAUACUGGCCUAGCCAACAAUGCACACGUCCCAUAGGUACAUAAAAAAAUAAUGUAACCCACCAAUAGAGGUGUCUCAAGGCCUUUACUGAAAGGGACUGGUUUUGAUUGAACAGCCCACAUUGAAGAAAAGACAAUGUGCUGCAGUCUGCAAAUCUGGCAAUGAUUACAAGCAGAGCAGACAAACAUGGAACAAAAACCCCAAAGAACUGCAGAUGCAGGAAAUCAGAAACAAAAUAGAAAUUAUUGGGAAAACUCAGCAGGUUGGACAGCAUCAGUGAACCUUGGUGAAACUUUCUGUUGAACUUAACUUGACAAAUAAAAUGGACUCUCCUGGUAAGAUAAAUAAAUAAAAGAGACUCAAUGGUUAAGGAUAGCAUAGGAUUUGCAGUUCAGUGACUCAGUGACUUAUGUUGUGAUUACAGCAUAAAUUCUUUCUCAGACCACACCUCUGUCAAUGUAGUUGUCAAAUUCUAUCAGUUAAUAAGGUGAAAAACAGAGCUACUGGUACAACUUUAUCUAAGGAGAAACAAGAAUCGCAACCAUGUCGCAUUUAUACUGCAGCAGAGGUCAGAUUUGGAUAUUUACUCUAAGAGGUGCAUCAUAACACCAGCAUGUUCAACAGUGAAGUUCGUACAUAUUCUAAGGCUGUAUCGAGGUAAUGUUGACAUAGGAGGGUGGGGUGCUUGCUUCAUUUGACUCACAGUAAUAUUACAGUCAUUCUGAUUGUUUUGCAGAUGUGCUGAACUUAGUACUUCCUCAUCCCACUCCCCAUACGUUGUGCCACUGUCAUGAGAAUCCUCCUAUUCCAACUAAUUAUUAAUUUAGCAGUGAAUUUAGCACCGUUUUAGGAAAACAGACUUGUGUUGCUUCACUUUUGGCCAUCUCUAUUAGCAAUAAUUGCCACGAUAAGCCAAUAACGGUGCAAGCUGGACAAAUUGAAUGAAUUGGGUCCAGCAAAUGCAUAGUUUCAGACAUAAAGUAAAGGUGAAAUGCUUUAUAAGAGUGAAUGGGGUUGCGGACUGUCUGACCUUUGAGCCAAUUUACUGGACAGGCUCUGUGCUGGUUCCGGUUAAGAAGUGGGCGAGGCAAGAAUGGUAACUGCUGACAGGAAUUACUGCUUUGGUAUGUGGCCUGUCCUAAUUUCUGGGAUUAUUUUUACUUGAUUAGGAGGGAAAUUGGUUACUACUGCAGGGCUUCUUAACAACUAUUUGCAGGGGAGGUGCAUGUUUGUUGCAAGGAAGAGUAAAUUAAUGCGCUCAGAAAAAAAAAUUGAGGCAGCUGACAGGCAAAUAAGCACAGACUUGUACAAUCCGAUGUUGGCCAUUACACAGUACUGGCACUUUUCACAGGAUGUGAUGUACCUCUGUCACUGCCUCCUUGGAGAAAAAGGUCUUUUUAAGUAACCUUCCUCAAAGAACUCCAGGUAAUUUGUUCUGGGCCUUUAAACUCUGUUAGGAGGAUCUCUUCAAGCAUGUUUUCAUCUGUCUGCCCCUUCUGGUGUUGGAUUCCACAUAGGGCCCCAUUUAGAAUCAAUGCUUUGACCUGUGUAAAAUCUGCAAUGCCAAUAAAUUCUCUAAACUUGAAUUGCA